rnacentral:rRNA from 1 species
UGGGGAAUUUUGGACAAUGGGCGAAAGCCUGAUCCAGCAAUGCCGCGUGUGUGAAGAAGGCCUUCGGGUUGUAAAGCACUUUUGUCCGGAAAGAAAUCCUUGGCUCUAAUACAGUCGGGGGAUGACGGUACCGGAAGAAUAAGCACCGGCUAACUACGUGCCAGCAGCCGCGGUAAUACGUAGGGUGCAAGCGUUAAUCGGAAUUACUGGGCGUAAAGCGUGCGCAGGCGGUUUGCUAAGACCGAUGUGAAAUCCCCGGGCUCAACCUGGGAACUGCAUUGGUGACUGGCAGGCUAGAGUAUGGCAGAGGGGGGUAGAAUUCCACGUGUAGCAGUGAGAUGCGUAGAGAUGUGGAGGAAUACCGAUGGCGAAGGCAGCCCCCUGGGCCAAUACUGACGCUCAUGCACGAAAGCGUGGGGAGCAAACAGGAUUAGAUACCCUGGUAGUCCACGCCCUAAAACGAUGUCAACUAGUUGUUGGGGAUUCAUUUCCUUAGUAACGUAGCUAACGCGUGAAGUUGACCGCCUGGGGAGUACGGUCGCAAGAUUAAAACUUAAAGGAAUUGACGGGGUCAUAGCUGUUUCCU